GCUUGAAUCACUCCGCUAUGCUGGGGCUGAAUUCCUCUUUUCUGAGAGUUCCUGGAAACAGCUUUCUGGACUUGAGGCCUCAUUUAUGGGCAGAGAAUAUCACCAGGUGGUUCCUGCAGCCAGCCUAUAACUUCUGGCUAAGCUAGAGCAGAUCAGUUAGAAAGAGAGAUCCCAUCUCCACAUGACAGAGAGUCCAGCCCAUUGACAGCUUAGGGCAGCAAAAACGCUAGAGCCGGCCCUGCAUGGAGAGCAACUGAUCACCGUCCUCUUUACAACAGCCCUUAACAUAUUGGAAGACUGUUCUGGGGUCACUCCUCAGUCUGCUUUUCUCAAGGUUAGAAAGUGCUGGAAGGUCUAACUAGACAGUGUAACUUCAUGAUUCAAACCUGGCAACUCAGGAAAUCAGGAGAGAGCUGAAUCCUCAAGCAGCAUGUUGGCUUUUUGCUGCAUCUUCCUGCCGCUCGAUGAAAUCACCCAUGGCAGAUGCAUCCUACCUCUGCAAGGUGCACCCCAGGGGGACCAGACUGACUGAGCAGGGAUGAGUGAAUGUGAACAUCAGCAAACCUCGGCUGUGACCUGUCGAUGUGAUGAUGUCGUGCCACGACCUUUGUCAGAAUCUUGCCAUGCAGUAUGAUAAUAUCAGCAAGUGCCAUGGCUGCGGGGAUGGAGUACAAUCUGUAGGAGUGGCUGGCUGGCUGCAUGAAAAAGCAGCUAGCCAAAACAUUCUCUGGCCUCUGGACGCCUGAUCUGAGUGAAGGGAAGGGGCAAAGAUCUGUCUGCUUUCCCAUGCACCCAGCCCUCUGCAAUCAAGGAUGGGCUCCUGAAAUAUCAGGAUCUGCAAGAGUGGCUCUGUCCCCAGACAUCACAGCAGGAGACGCUGUCAUCCCAAUGCAAAAUUAAAGCUGUUUCCCAGUCUUGUGUCUAAUGCACAAGGAAGGGGGAGUGACUGAGAGCCAAGGGGAACACAUGGAGAAGGAGGGAGGAAUCUAGUUAGAUGACGAUUAGACAUAACACUUUGUCUUGCUGCUUUUUGAAUAAUCAGGACUUGCAAAGACUCUGAUCCCCAAUUUACUGGUGGGGAAACUAAGAAACUGAGACAUCAAGUGAAUCAGGCAGAAAUGGAGCCCAAGCCCCUGGUCUAACCACAAGAUCCCCAUGGCUCGUUUAAUAGAACUUUAGUUCCAUCAUGACAAUGCCAGGUCAGUUUACUCCUCAGGGCCUAGGCGCUGCCCCGUGAAUUUCUGAUGGCUGGUGAAGUCUUUGGUGCAUUUAAUAAACCCUGCAUGGGACUAAUGCUUUCCCUAAGACCUGCUUUUGUUGCCUGUGGGCACUUGGCAGGUGUAUCUCCUCCCCCUAACUUCUGGGGGUUUGGCCACGCAUCAGGUUGUUUCACUUUCGCUUUGGGGCCGGCCCAGGAAAAACAGCAAAGUUUGGUUUGGA